rnacentral:tRNA from 1 species
UAAAAAAACAGGACUCGAACCUAACCUUUAGAGAUCAAAACUCUAUGUGCACCCUAUACACCACUUCUUA